CGCCUCCCUCCGAGCGCAGGACGCUCCGACGCCCGCCUGCCCGCAGGCCACCACAGGAACCCCAACGGUGCAGAACUGUGCCACCGCGCCUAGAAGACAGCCUGAGGCUCCUGGGCAGAUCCCGAAAGCAGAGAGCAUAUAUGUGCUUCCAUCAACAUCCUGUGACUUCAUACAUCUACAGAGGUCCUUGUGUUCCUGAGCUGAUUGACAGCCACUAAGAACCAUUUGAAAGGUGUGAAGGAGUGUUAAUAAGUUCAGGAGCAAAACACUUCCCUGCGCUGGGCUCCAGAAAAUACCCUGAAAUUUUAAGUGAUGGUUGAGAUGAGGCAUGGAGAUUUCUGCAGAAAACCACAGUGCCUUUCAAAUCUACACCCUCAAACACUCAUCCAGCUUAGCAGAGAGUUGAAUAUACUGUGCUGGGCUGUGAAUCGCCACCUCCUCCCAUCCCCCGCCCUCUCUCAGAGUUUCUGGAAAGAGGACAGAAAUAUGUGUGAACGUCAUCAGUAUAGGCAUAUCUCUGACACAGCUGCUCUGGGGCAGUGUGGGGUCAGCUGUGAAGCGACUGGCUGAUCAGCUGGGGAAGUACAGUAAAUGCUUUGUUAAAAAACAUUGCUUAGAACAGAACAACUGUUUUCAUUUUUCCUUAAAAGAAACAUGUUCUCUCCUUGGCGACAUGUGCUCUUGUGUUCAGUAACAAGAGAGAAGAAAUGCAUUAAGGAUAUGCAGGUUCUGGGUUAUUUGUUUAUUUACUUUGAAGUGCUGAGGCUGGAA